CACUCCGGUGGCCUAGUGGUAAAAGCGUCCGCUUCGGAUGCGGGAGGUCGUUGGCUCGAUUCCCUGUCGAGUCA